rnacentral:tRNA from 2 species
GCCUUCGUGGUGAAAUGGAUAUCACAACGGUCUUCGGAACCGUUAUUGCAGGUUCGAAUCCUGCCGAGGGCACUA